CAAUGACAAGAAGCUGCCAUCACACAUCUAUGUAGCGGUGUACUGUAACCCGCUAUACUGGAUUUUCUAUCUUCUCCCCCACUGACUCACACCUCAUGCACCAUUCUAUAAAACACACAUUACUACAUAAACUCCCUUGUCGAUAUUGCACCAAAUCAUUAACAAUGGUACAAUAAAAAAUGGGAACAUUAGAACAUUAGUCAUGCUUUUCUCUGGUUUGUUGAUCUUUACUAAAAUACAUCAUUGUAAUGCAAAAUGUAUUAUGAAGCAAUCCAACAGACAGCAGAUAUUGACUGGCCAACACAACAGUCUCACUCACUCACAUCUAGACCUACUGUACACUAGAGCUGGGACGAUAAACCGAAAAUUAUCGACACCGACCAAACAUCUUGGACAUUUUGCUGAUAUCAUUCAUUACGAUAAAUGGGUGAUUCUACGGAAAUGGUGGCUUUCCUGUCCCCCGCCUUAACCCCCAGGGAAAAACACCCCAGAAAUCUGAUAAUGACACUAAAUAAAAUAAAAUAUUGAAGUGUUUUAUUGUUAAUAAACAUAUGUAAGACAGUUAUAUUGCAAAUUAUAUUUUUCAUAUUAGCGUAGAACACGGUCAGCACCAUGAAAAUGGUUGUCCCUCGAGCCAGGAGUCAUGGUUUAGUGACAUAUUUUGAGUCCAAAUAUUUUUUGCUCCAACUUUAAAUGUCAUAAUAUAACUGUUAAGGGAAUUACUUAAAAAAACAAAAAUAUGAACUAAAUAUUAUAAAUAAUUUACAGGGAAUAGCUUUCAUUCAAUUUCAUGUCACUGAUGUUACCCUUAAUAAAAAAAAACACCACUUUGAAAAAAUUCAACAUUCUUGCCGGCUUCUUCCUGGGUCAAAGGUUCAUUGGAGGCGGGGCUGUUUUUAAGAGCAUAUGUGACAGUGCCGGCUAAUGGCCAUGGUCUCUCAACUCCACAUCAAACAGAUGUAAUCGACCCGGAUACCUCAGCUCCACUUCGUCCAGAUGUCAUCGAGGCUCACCACACUGGACAGUGGUGCAUUGUGAACUACGAUGAACAACCAUACCCUGGCGUUAUACUGGAGGUCGAAGAACAUAACAUCAAAGUUAAGUGCAUGCACAGGAAUGGAGUCAACAAGUUCUUCUGGCCAAGCCCAAGAGAUGAUAAACUGGGAUGUUCAGAUUGUGUGUCUGAUGCCAAAGCCGCUGCCAGUGAAGAAAAGAUCAGCUCAGAUUGACCACAGUAUCUGGAAGUACUUGGAGGAGCACCUGAAUGUGUGAAAGUGGCAGUUGUGAACUGGCUACCAGAGAAGAAGGCGUCAGUGGCUGGAAAGCAAUGGAGACUGGCUCGGAGAUGAUAACAGAUGGACGUGACACAAUAACAUGGCAAAGACAAACAUAUGGACAAACUUUUCUAAAGACAAACAUCUCAAGUAAACGUGUAGCUAGUAUGGGAAAUAAUUAGUACAGGAAAAGUGAGUACAGAAAAUAGGCCUAUUCCAUGAACAUGUUUUACUGCAUACAAAAUGUUUGUAUCAGUGCUUUUGGGAAAACUUAGUCUUAGUUUACAUUCAAUGUUGUGUUUCUAUAGUUCUAAUAGAGAUGUUAUGUUUGUACGACAUUGUGUUAAGGAAGACAUUUUAGUCAAUAGGCUUCAUCUUUUGGUCUUAAUCUUUGACCAAUAACCCUCAUUUUAUUGUUCAUAUGAAAUCAACACGUUAUAAAAUGAUUUGUAAUAAAAAAAAUGUUACUAAAUUGAUCAAAUUUGUUUGAAAUAACCGUAUGUUAUGUCAUUGGUUUCACAUUGUGUCACUGGGGUUACAUCGCGCCACUGAUGUUACUUCAUGGCAUAUUGGUGUUCUGGCAUCAGUUGCCCAUUUUCCUAGAAUAUGUUUAUUUGUAUCUACCCAACUGCUGCUGUAAGCAUUAGUAAGCAUUUUAAUUUUGAUGACUCAACCUCAAUUACUUAUGAUGUUACAACAUAAAACACGUGGCAGAAAUAUAAAUGUAGCACAAUAGAACUUUACACAUACCGGUUUAAAGUAAAUUAUUUAUAAUCAAAACAAUUUCUUCAUAUUAGCAUUAACCUUUUCUGUCUGAUUAUAUAUGCAAAUUAAAUUGUGAAAUUACAUUCAGGAAAGCCUGAAUUGUCAUCUAAAAUAUAGGUAACACCAGUGACAAAAAGGCAGCACUUGCAUUUUUUUAUGUAAUGUAUUAAAAAUAUGAAAAUACAUUAA